rnacentral:rRNA from 1 species
GAUGAACGCUGGCGGCGUGCCUAAUACAUGCAAGUCGAGCGAACAGACGAGGAGCUUGCUCCUCUGACGUUAGCGGCGGACGGGUGAGUAACACGUGGAUAACCUACCUAUAAGACUGGGAUAACUUCGGGAAACCGGAUCUAAUACCGGAUAAUAUAUUGAACCGCAUGGUUCAAUAGUGAAAGACGGCUUUGCUGUCACUUAUAGAUGGAUCCGCGCCGCAUUAGCUAGUUGGUCAGGUAACUGCUUACCAAGGCAACGAUGCGUAGCCGACCUGAGAGGGUGAUCGCCCACCCUGGAACUGAGCCACGGUCCAGACGCCUAAGGGAGGCAGCAGUAGGGAAUCUUCGGCAAUGGGCGAAAGCUUGACGGAGCAACGCCGAGUGAGUGAUGAAGGUCUUCGGAUCGUAAAACUCUGUUAUUAGGGAAGAACAAAUGUGUAAGUAAAUAUGCACGUAUUGACGGUACCUAAUCAGAAAGCAACGGCUAACUACGUG